rnacentral:rRNA from 1 species
AUUGAACGCUGGCGGCAUGCUUUACACAUGCAAGUCGAACGGUAACAGGGAGCUUGCUCCGCUGACGAGUGGCGAACGGGUGAGUAAUGCGUCGGAACGUGCCGAGUAGUGGGGGAUAACGCAUCGAAAGGUGUGCUAAUACCGCAUACGUACUGAGGUAGAAAGUGGGGACCUUCGGGCCUCACGCUAUUCGAGCGGCCGACGUCUGAUUAGCUAGUUGGUGAGGUAAAGGCUCACCAAGGCGACGAUCAGUAGCGGGUCUGAGAGGAUGAUCCGCCACACUGGGGACUGAGACACGGCCCAGACUCCUACGGGAGGCAGCAGUGGGGAAUUUUGGACAAUGGGCGCAAGCCUGAUCCAGCCAUGCCGCGUGUCUGAAGAAGGCCUCGGGUUGUAAAGGACUUUUGUCCGGGAGCAAAUGCCGGUGGCUAACAUCCACCGGAGCUGAGAGUACCGGAAGAAUAAGCACCGGCUAACUACGUGCCAGCAGCCGCGGUAAUACGUAGGGUGCAAGCGUUAAUCGGAAUUACUGGGCGUAAAGCGUGCGCAGGCGGUUUUGUAAGCCAGAUGUGAAAGCCCAGGGCUCAACCUGGGAACUGCGUUUGGAACUACAAGACUAGAGUGUGUCAGAGGGGGUGGAAUUCCGCGUGUAGCAGUGAAAUGCGUAGAGAUGCGGAGGAACACCGAUGGCGAAGGCAGCCCCCUGGGGAUAACACUGACGCUCAUGCACG